rnacentral:rRNA from 1 species
CCUACGGGCGGCAGCAGUGGGGAAUAUUGGGCAAUGGACGCAAGUCUGACCCAGCAACGCCGCGUGAAGGAAGAAGGCUUUCGGGUUGUAAACUUCUUUUAAGGGGGAAGAUAAGAAGACGGUACCCCUUGAAUAAGCCACGGCUAAAUACGUUCCAGCAGCCGCGGUAAUACGUAGGUGGCAAGCGGUGUCCGGAUUUACUGGGUGUAAAGGGAGUGCAGCCGGGAAGAAAAGUCAGAUUAGAAAGUCCGGGGCUUAACCGCGGAACUGCAUUUGAAACUGUUUUUCUUGAGUAUGGGAGAGGUAAUUGGAAUUCCUAGUGUAGCGGUGAAAUGCGGAGAUAUUAGGAAGAACACCAGUGGCGAAGGCGGAUUACUGGACGACAACUGACGGUGAGGCGCGAAAGCGUGGGGAGCAAACAGGAUUAGAUACCCUGGUAGUC